AUAGACGGCAAAGCUUUUGUGAGGGGGUGGGGCUUAAUAGAACAAACAGGUUCCUGUUGAGUGGAUAUAGCAAUUCCUAUGUAUAUAAGUCCUUACACCUUCCUGAAGCCUCACCUGCAGCUUGGGUGUGUGUUUAACCAGCAAUACCAAAUUACCUCAGAAAUUCUGAGAAGGAAAGGACCUCAGAGACCCUACUGUCAUUUGCUUAUUAUAUAAGUUAGAACCUGACAGAUUCCAUUACUUGGUCCUAGAGAACCAACCAUGGGAACUUCAUCUCAGGGCAUGAUUAAUUUUUGUAGACUUAUUUUUUGAAAAUGCAUGGGUGGAUGCAAACUAAUUUUUAAUAUUUCUAGCUACAUAAAUUGGGAUAUAAGGUUCUAACACAGGCUGGAUAAUGGCUUACAAUUCUCUUUUUGCUAAUGGACGUACAUUAAAUCAUAAUUUGAUUGGCCAAGAACAAAGUCUCUUUUAUGAUUCUCUUAAUUUGGAAUUUCACUCUUCUCUGAAUAGUUUCACGAUCUUUUUGAACCACAUUGUCCAGUGAUUCCUUAGGACUCUCAGCAUUGAGAACUUUUUAAGGUGGAACCCGCUGACAGAUGGUAUGGAGUUCAGGAAGUGAUCAACUGGAGAUGGUGAAACAACUGUCUUUAAAACAAAAAAGGAAUGUACCAGUUAAAAAAAUACACAGUGGUACAUGCCUACCUGAGGCUUAGGUAGGAGGAUCACAAGCUCAAGACCAUACUCAGCAACUUAGCAAGGUCCUAAGCAACUUAGUGAGACACUGUCUUAAAAUAAAAAAUAAAAAGGGCUGGGGAUGUGGCUCAGUGGUUAAGUACCCCUGGGUUCAAUUCUUGGUACAAAAAGAAAACAAUUAAAAAUAAACAAAUAUUUUUAAAAGGAUAUAAAAUUUAGUCAAAAAUGUUUUUAUCA
rnacentral:lncRNA from 1 species